GUUCAAGGUUGGGUAAAAACCGUGAUGACGUCACGGGAGUCACUAGUGAUCACCACACUUGACAGGGUGAUAGUGAUCAAUUUGUUACCCUUUGAAAACCAUUUUGUUUGAUAUGCAUGUCGGCAGGUUAGGAGAGUUCAAGGUUGGGUAAAAA